GCUUUGUGAAGGUGGAGAACUAUUGGAUAGAAUCUUGUCCAGAGGUGGAAGAUACAAUGAAGGGGAUGCAAAAAUUAUUGUUGAACAGAUAUUAAAAGUAGUUGCCUUUUGCCAUCUUCAGGGUGUUGUUCACCGUGAUCUGAAGCCAGAGAAUUUCCUAUUCAGCACUAGGGAAG